ensembl:lncRNA
GGCUCGGGAGGAUUUAGCAUUCUGUAAGUAAAAAUCAAUUGAUUUUUAGAUCAUGGGGCUGAGAGUUGAAAGCCAGUUGGGAUGGAUUUUGCUUAACUUCCCUAUUUAAAUAGAUCACGCUGUUUGAAUACUUAUGCUUGCCUUUUGAUUAGCUCACCCAUGUUGGCGAUUUGUAUGUCUGUAUCUCACGCCUUUGAAAAUAAGGAACCAGCAGGCAUGUGGGGCUGCAGAGAGGUGUUAGCCAACGUGUGAUGUACAGAGAGUUGUGCUGAAAGACCCAGGAACAAAAACCUGUGCUCACCAUGUGCCAGGGGACAUUUUGACCUUCUUUCAGGCCCUCCUUUCACCUGUGGUCUGUGUCUUCUGUGCCACCAGCAGCUCCCCUGUGCCGUUAUCUUGCAGUAGAGCUGCAUGCUGCUCUAACAGCUGAGCUGCAAAGGGCAAGGUCACCUCUGCUACGUGCAAAGCCAAUUAAGGCUUAAAGAACACUAAACUCAGAUUUCCUCAAGUCGUUUCGUUUUAUUGAUCAGACACGUUUUUAUUUCCAGAUUGCUCGCUCUUGGGAACCAUCCAGGCUUCCUGGUGCAAAGGACUGUGUAAAAUGUACUGAAUCAGCACUCCCAGUGUGUCUGUCUGUGGGUUUUGUUAACCUUGCAGGCUCUGUUUAAGAUGCAAGACACAGCUUGAAGAGCACCAUCAUGUAUCCAGUGCUCUUCUGAAAGAUGUCUCCAAUUUGCAUUUCCCUCUUGUCCUCUUCAAAAUCAAAGCACUUCCUUCUCCCCUUUCUUUGUUUAAUCCUAGGAUUUUCCUGGAAAGAAGAUUCCCAGCACAUAAGAGAGUGUACAGAGCAUGUUCUGAGUCUUCUUCAAAAAAAUUCCAUGCUGGCUGCACAAAAGCUCAGCGCUGAGAUGUACCUACUGCCUUGUGGGAUAAAUCAAACCAACUCAGCGCCGUCGCUUCCUGUAAGCAUUACAGCCCCAGAGAAAUGCCUCGUCGUUAUGAAGGAUGACACCCUCUGCCUCUCCCACACCAAACUCCAGAUGCAGUGCUUUGCCAAAGAGCCAAAAAGCCCAAGUGCUGAGCUGAACAGAAAGGGAUGGGUGUGGAUGACUCACCCCGAAAUGGAAGACUCCCAUCAAACCAUGACACAGUGCAGGAUGGACUGAGCAAGUCGGAGGUUGUGUUUGUCGUAGAAUCAUUAAGGCUGGGAAAGACCUCCAAGAGCACCAAGCCCAACUCACCCCACUGUUCCCAUCACCACAUCCCUCAGUGCCACAUCCCCACAGUUCUGGGGCACAUCCAUGGAUGGUGACGCCACUACUCCCAGUAUCCAACCUGAACCUAUGCUGGCACUUCAGGCCAUUCCUCUUGUCCUGUUGCUUCUCACCUCCAACCUGGAUAAAAAACCAAUGGUCUCACUACCCAUUACCAUUUUGGAUAGUCCUGUGUGGAGCCAGGAGUUGGACUUGAUGAUCCUCACGGGCCCCUUCCAGCUCAGGAUAUUCUAUGGUUCUAUGAUUCUACCCUGUGGAGAUUAAGGUGCUUCCUAAGUAACAAGGCAUCACUCUGCCUGAGCAAAGAGGAAGACAACAGAAAGUUUCAGCUACAGGAAUGAUCAUAGCCACCGUUUCCAAAUCAUGGCUGAAGGAGUUUAAAAUAACAACAAAGAAUAGAAACCUACUUUUGAGAGAUAAAGUAAGUUUCUCUAUAGCACUAACAGACAUGAAAUUGUAAUUUUCUUC